rnacentral:rRNA from 1 species
AGAGUUUGAUCCUGGCUCAGAUUGAACGCUGGCGGCAUGCCUUACACAUGCAAGUCGAACGGUAACGCGGGGGCAACCCUGGCGACGAGUGGCGAACGGGUGAGUAAUACAUCGGAACAUAUCCAGUAGCGGGGGAUAACCUAUCGAAAGAUGGACUAAUACCGCAUACGAUCUACGGAUGAAAGCAGGGGACCGCAAGGCCUUGCACUAUUGGAGUGGCCGAUGUCGGAUUAGCUAGUUGGUGGGGUAAAGGCUUACCAAGGCGACGAUCCGUAGCUGGUCUGAGAGGACGAUCAGCCACACUGGAACUGAGACACGGUCCAGACUCCUACGGGAGGCAGCAGUGGGGAAUUUUGGACAAUGGGCGCAAGCCUGAUCCAGCCAUGCCGCGUGAGUGAAGAAGGCCUUCGGGUUGUAAAGCUCUUUCGGUGAAGACGAAACGGUUAGCGCUAAUAACGCUGACUAAUGACGGUACUCACAGAAGAAGCACCGGCUAACUACGUGCCAGCAGCCGCGGUAAUACGUAGGGUGCAGGCGUUAAUCGGAAUUACUGGGCGUAAAGCGUGCGCAGGCGGUUUGCUAAGACAGGUGUGAAAUCCCCGAGCUUAACUUGGGAAUUGCGCUUGUAACUGGCAAGCUAGAGUGUGGCAGAGGGGGGUGGAAUUCCACGUGUAGCAGUGAAAUGCGUAGAUAUGUGGAGGAACACCGAUGGCGAAGGCAGCCCCCUGGGUUAACACUGACGCUCAUGCACGAAAGCGUGGGGGGCAAACAGGAUUAGAUACCCUGGUAGUCCACGCCCUAAACUAUGUCAACUAGUUGUCGGGGAAGAAAUUCCUUGGUAACGAAGCUAACGCGUGAAGUUGACCGCCUGGGGAGUACGGCCGCAAGGUUAAAACUCAAAGGAAUUGACGGGGACCCGCACAAGCGGUGGAUUAUGUGGAUUAAUUCGAUGCAACGCGAAAAACCUUACCUACCCUUGACAUGCUAGGAAGCCCGCAGAGAUGUGGGUGUGCCCGAAAGGGAACCUAGACACAGGUGCUGCAUGGCUGUCGUCAGCUCGUGUCGUGAGAUGUUGGGUUAAGUCCCGCAACGAGCGCAACCCUUGCCACUAGUUGCUACAUUUAGUUGGGCACUCUAAUGGGACCGCCGGUGACAAACCGGAGGAAGGUGGGGAUGACGUCAAGUCCUCAUGGCCCUUAUGGGUAGGGCUUCACACGUAAUACAAUGGUCGGUACAGAGGGCUGCCAACCCGCAAGGGGGGAGCUAAUCCCAGAAAGCCGAUCGUAGUCCGGAUUGUAGUCUGCAACUCGACUGCAUGAAGCCGGAAUCGCUAGUAAUCGCGGAUCAGCAUGUCGCGGUGAAUACGUUCCCGGGUCUUGUACACACCGCCCGUCACACCAUGGGAGUGGGUUCCACCAGAAGUAGUUAGCCUAACCGCAAGGAGGGCGAUUACCACGGUGAGAUUCAUGACUGGGGUGAAGUCGUAACGAGGUA